rnacentral:rRNA from 1 species
AACGAACGCUGGCGGCAUGCCUAACACAUGCAAGUCGAACGCCCGUAGCAAUACGGGAGUGGCAGACGGGUGCAUAACACGUGGGAACCUACCCUAGGGUUCGGAAUAACCGCGGGAAACUGCGGCUAAUACCGGAUACGUCCUCUGCGGGAAAGAUUUAUCGCCCUUGGAGGGGCCCGCGUCGGAUUAGCUAGUUGGUGAGGUAACGGCUCACCAAGGCGACGAUCCGUAGCUGAUCUGAGAGGAUGAUCAGCCACACUGGAACUGAGACACGGUCCAGACUCCUACGGGAGGCAGCAGUGGGGAAUAUUGGACAAUGGGCGCAAGCCUGAUCCAGCAAUGCCGCGUGGGUGAUGAAGGCCUUCGGGUUGUAAAGCCCUUUUGGCAGGGACGAUGAUGACGGUACCUGCAGAAUAAGCCCCGGCUAACUUCGUGCCAGCCGCCGCGGUAA